ACAUGACUUUCUCUAUCACACAAGGAAAAUAAAUGCAUCUUAAUGGGAAAAAAAUGGUGUGAAAAGAGAAAGAUCUCUUCAGUAAUGAGGCCUACGAUCAUAUACGCUGCUGUCUUCAUAGCAGCUGAUAUACACAGUAAAGGACAAUGAGGAAAUACAGAAACAUCUUUCUACCUGGGACUUCAGUAUGUUGUAGGAGUACUUGCUGGUACAGCCAUUUGGAAGGUCACAGAUCAUUACAAGAGCCUGGGGUCACAGGUCAGGACAUCCCCCUUUCACCUAAACUCUGUGAUCCAAAAUGAAAGGAGAAAGGUUGGAGGGAAUGGGAGAGAGAGCGGGGGAGUGUGAUCGGUGGACAGCCAUUCAUCCUGAGCUGAGGGAAGGUUUCCAAAUCUCCCCCCUGACAUUCUUCUGGGCUCAAAGAAGCCCCUGGACAGAAGUGGCCCAAAACUGGCACAGACCGCCUCGACGUUGCCAGGGACAGCCACUCUGCCGAGGCGUUGCUGGGGCCCAACGCUGUUUUGUCUUCCGUUCUCACCUCACUUCCUGGUUUGGAAAAGGAGGCUGGAGGAUCAUUAAUGACCAGAAGGACCCCAUACUACACUGUAUGUCCACACGUAACCAGAACUUCUUUCAGUUAGCUAUUUCUGCUUUCCCUCAGUGACACAGGUGUCGUCAGGUCGAUUUCUUAACUUGAAACAAGGAUUUUUUUAUAUCAGAAGUUACACAGACCAGCAGCCAAAUUACACUAUUCCAUGGUAAGCUACAUUCACACACACACUGAUGGUGAUGGAGCAGCCUUGCAAGGCGUUGGCCUGACCAUCGGUCAUCCAUCAGGAGCAACGUAGGGUUCAGUGUCUCCUGAGUCCUUGCCGCCUUUUCGUUUCCACACAAAGGAAUUGCUUUGACAUAGUUGUCUUUUAACUUCCUGUCCAGCUUGCGCCUACAUUUGAUCAAAUAUCUGACCAGUUUUACAAUAUAAUGACGUGAUAUGAUGAUGUGUUAAGGACUGCCAGAAGAAGAAGACAAUGUGAAGUUUUCCUUUACAGCAGUCUGACAAACACUGACUGAUAUAUAUGUAGUGGUGCUAAUAAGAUCGGUUCUCCUGCACAGCCCUGGGAUCAGCUGUUAAUGUUAUAAUAGCAUAGUGACUGGUCAGUUAGUUAGGUGAAAAGCUGUGUUU